rnacentral:lncRNA from 1 species
AAUGGGGACGUUUCCCUCUGGCUUUGUGCUGCAAAGGGGCCUCACGUUCGUUCUUCUUGGAGAGUGAAUUUCAACAAAACCUAUUUCAGCAGCUUCACUGAGCUGGAUCUGCUUGCAGCAGUGCAGAUACCUGAGCUCAGUGGGUCAAGGGAAGAGGUUGCAGAUGGCUACUCACAGACCCGCGUUCAUAGCAGCACCCCUCACGGUCGCCAAAAGGUAGAAGCAACCCGGGUGUCCAACAGGGGUUUACAACACAGUGGAACAUGACUUGGCCUUCAAGGGGAAGAGAUUCUGCCACAGGCUGCCCCCCACACAAACCUUGAGGCCAUUGUGCUAGGGGAAGUAAUGCUUCUAAAAUAACAAACACGCUCUGAUUCUGCUUGUGGGAAGUCCCCAGGUGGUCAGAUCCACAGAGACUGCUGGGGCUGGGGCAGGGGAAAUGGAGUGUCUGUUUCUAAUGGGUACAGAGUUCCUGUGCAGGGAGAUGAGAAAGUGCUGGAGAUGGGUGGCGGUGGCCACUGCAGGACAAUGUGAAGGAUCAUAAUGCCACUGACACAUAGCUAAGAAACGUCCCAGUGCUGAAGUUUAUGUUAUGUGUAUUUUGCCAUAACAAAAAGAAAUUGCAUUAAAUAAAGAAAAGCAUAUAUGUGUAUUUCACACGAGAGCUUCGCUUGUGAAAUGCUCUCCUGCUUUACUUUAGGAAAAG